rnacentral:tRNA from 1 species
GCGAGGGUGGCGGAACUGGCAGACGCACCAGACUUAGGAUCUGGCGGGCAACCGUGGGGGUUCGACUCCCCCCUCUCGCACCA